GCCCCGCCGCGGACUGCAGUGCCCCGCAGACCUGAGCAGUCGCUCGUGCUGAGCGCCGGGAGGGCGCCAGCCUGGGGCCUAGGCCUGAGCCGCCAUGGCGCUGCCCCCAGGCCCAGCCGCCCUCCCGCACACACUGCUGCUCCUGCCAGCCCUUCUGAGCUCAGGUUGGGGGGAAUUGGCACCAGAAAUUGAUGGUCAGACCUGGGCCGAGCUGGCACUUCGGGAGAACGAGCGGCACGCCUUCACCUGCCGGGUGGCAGGGGGGCCUGGAACCCCCCGAUUGGCCUGGUACCUGGAUGGACAGCUGCAGGAGGCCAGCACCUCGAGGCUGCUGAGUGUGGGCGGGGAGGCCUUCUCUGGAGGCACCAGCACCUUCACUGUUACUGCCCAGAGGGCCCAGCAUGAGCUUAACUGCUCCUUGCAGGACCCCGGCAGUGGCCGGUCAGCUAAUGCCUCCGUCAUCCUCAAUGUGCAAUUUAAACCAGAGAUUGCCCAGGUCGGGGCCAAGUACCGGGAAGCUCAGGGGCCAGGCCUCCUGGUUGUCCUUUUUGCCCUGGUGCGUGCCAACCCACCUGCCAAUGUGACCUGGAUCGACCAGGAUGGGCCGGUGACUGUCAACGCCUCUGACUUCCUGGUGCUGGAUGCCCAGAACUACCCUUGGCUCAGCAACCACACCGUGCAGCUGCAGCUCAGCAGCCUGGCACACAACCUCUCCGUGGUGGCCACCAACGACGUGGGUGUCACCAGCGCCUCGCUUCCGGCCCCGGGUGAGCACUGCCAGCGACUGGCCCAGCACGGCCUCAGGGCUUCUGGCCACCCGAGUGGAAGUGCCGCUGCUGGGCAUCGUUGUGGCUGGAGGGCUUGCCCUGGGCACCCUGGUGGGGUUCAGCACCUUGGUGGCCUGCCUGGUCUGCAGGAAAGAGAAGAAGACCAAAGUGACUCCAACAACCUGAAACUCAACAACGUGCGCCUGCCACGGGAGAACAUGUCCCUCCCGUCCAACCUGCAGCUCAACGACCUCACUCCAGAUUCCAGAGCAGGGAAGCCAGCAGACCGGCAGAUGGCUCCGAAUAACAGCCGGCCAGAGCUGCUGGACCCAGAGCCCGGUGGCCUCCUCACCAGCCGAGAGCAAGUCACAUGGUCCAACCCACAAUCAAAAGAUAAGGAAGCAUCCUGGGCUUACCAUGACACCAUGACAGGAGGGGCUGCAUACUAUGUAGGGCCACAGAGCAAGGAGUCAGCAGGGAAUAAGGACAGGCGUUGAGGCGGAGAGAAGAGCUCCUGGGAUGGUCACUGGGGGGCUGCGCUGGAUAUAAAGGAGCGGCAAGAAGAGCAGGACAACCUGGAAGAUAGAGCAUUUUAUUUGCCAAAUCUUUGCCAAUAACGUUAAGAAUGAAAGAAAAAAAGAAUUCCGUCGCUGUCUCAAAAAGAACAUCUUUGAAGCUUUCCUCCCAACCUGAGCACCCCAGAAUCCCAGACGUUCCAGUCCUUCUAUUCUUCUAACUCAAGUCCCCACAGUGGUGUCGGUGCAUAAUUCCCACGGGAGGAAAACCGGAGAUAGGCAGAAGCCAUUUAAGGAACACAUGCAGUACUUUCUGGCACAGAGGGCAGCAGGACGUCCGCGUCCGAGUCAGGCUGUGGUGCGGGCGCGGUCGCCACAUGGCUGAUGACUGUGUCGCCUCAGCCAGGGCAGAGGCGGCAGCUCAGCCUGGGAGCAGAGAGACCCUGGGGGUGUCUCAGCUGAAGGUUAAUGUCUCUGCAUCUCCAGCUUGGGAAGCGGAGUUGGAUGGAGGGGUGAAUGCUUUCUUGCCUUCAGCUAGAGCUUUAAAAUGCUGUGAGGAAAGAGGAGAGGGUACAUGGGGUAUCUGGUAGGCUAGCUGCUGCAUCUGAGCAAGAACGAACCUCUUUACAGCCCGUUAAGCUCCAAUUUUUCCCCAGUUCUACUUUCAGAACAAUUCCUUGGUGUUGUCUUUGAAAAACAGCUAGCAAUCUGCCCCACCCCCUUCAAAGAUGAACCCCUUUUUUCCUUCUGCCCUGCGUCCAUUCCUUAAGCCCUGUGGUGAGUGUCCCUGGCGUGUCCCCCAGGCCAAAGGCCUACAGCUCUUCUGCUUCCCUCCCUGUGAAAGCCCCACCCUUCCUGCUUGCUGUUCUUUGAGUAACAGGGAAGGGUGAUGGUAAGCCUUGGAGAAACACCCUUCCUUGUCCAAGGGCGAAUCCCAGCUGACUUGGAGGAGUAGAGACUGGAGCGUUCCUCACUACGGCAGAAGACACUUCUUUAGUCUUACCUGUGAGUUCUUGAAUUCCGAGUAGAGGGAGAAGAGCAGGUGCAGGGACUGAAUCCGACUCUUGUAGAUAGGGAUGUCUAGGAUGGCUGAAAUCAAGAGCUUCCAUGAGCAGAACCAAACACAACUGGGAAUUAUGGGGCAUUUACGUUUAGGAUGGCCAUGGCCCUCCCAGAUGGGAUGUGUCGCUAUGACUCUGAGGGCCGACCUGGUGGGGAGUCACAUAAGCCCAAAUACCACCUUCAGUGCUGCCAAACAGCAAACUGGCUGUAACUCAAGAUGCUAUUUUCCCAGAGCAAAGGAGCCUUUGCAAAACCCCACAGUGUAUUCGUCCAGAGACGGGGAAAAGGAAGGGAUGGAAGAGCUUACCACAGAUCAUGUCAAUGUACUCCGCCAGGCUGCAGUCAAUCUCUGCCGUGGGCAGGCUCACCUAGGACGAGCAUGGGACAGACCAGAGUCAAAAGGCUGAGGUUUCACCGGGGCCAGCACCUCUCUCUCUUUUUAAAAGAUAUUUAUUUGUUUGUUUGUUUGUCAGAGAGAGAGAGAAAGAGAGAGCACAA